ensembl:snoRNA SNORD22 Small nucleolar RNA SNORD22
CCCCGAUGAGGAAAACCUCAUGCGUCUUACUGCCUGUCCUGGCACCAGAACCUGCAAAGGUUGAACCCACUGGUGCUGGCAGCCGGAGAGGAGGAUGGCUUGUUCUGAGGAACUGUCUGAGGGAU